UUCAAAUCACGCUAAAACAUUCCCUCCUCCUAUUGGUCGGAUGUGUCUUGGGGGGCAGGAGCAAGAAAGUGAAAACAGGAAAAAGGUCCUGUAGAU